rnacentral:rRNA from 1 species
UACGUAGGGUGCGAGCGUUAAUCGGAAUUACUGGGCGUAAAGCGCGCGUAGGCGGCUUUGCAAGUCGGGUGUGAAAUCCCCAGGCUCAACCUGGGAACUGCAUUCGAGACUGCAUUGCUAGAGUAUGGGAGAGGGAAGUGGAAUUUCAGGUGUAGCGGUGAAAUGCGUAGAUAUCUGAAGGAACAUCAGUGGCGAAAGCGACUUCCUGGACCAAUACUGACGCUCAUGUGCGAAAGCGUGGGGAGCAAACAGG